rnacentral:rRNA from 1 species
AGCUUGCUCCUUUGACGUUAGCGGCGGACGGGUGAGUAACACGUGGGUAACCUACCUAUAAGACUGGGAUAACUUCGGGAAACCGGAGCUAAUACCGGAUAAUAUUUCGAACCGCAUGGUUCGAUAGUGAAAGAUGGCUCUGCUAUCACUUAUAGAUGGACCUGCGCCGUAUUAGCUAGUUGGUAAGGUAACGGCUUACCAAGGCAACGAUACGUAGCCGACCUGAGAGGGUGAUCGGCCACACUGGAACUGAGACACGGUCCAGACUCCUACGGGAGGCAGCAGUAGGGAAUCUUCCGCAAUGGGCGAAAGCCUGACGGAGCAACGCCGCGUGAGUGAUGAAGGUCUUCGGAUCGUAAAACUCUGUUAUUAGGGAAGAACAAACGUGUAAGUAACUGUGCACGUCUUGACGGUACCUAAUCAGAAAGCCACGGCUAACUACGUGCCAGCAGCCGCGGUAAUACGUAGGUGGCAAGCGUUAUCCGGAAUUAUUGGGCGUAAAGCGCGCGUAGGCGGUUUUUUAAGUCUGAUGUGAAAGCCCACGGCUCAACCGUGGAGGGUCAUUGGAAACUGGAAAACUUGAGUGCAGAAGAGGAAAGUGGAAUUCCAUGUGUAGCGGUGAAAUGCGCAGAGAUAUGGAGGAACACCAGUGGCGAAAGCGACUUUCUGGUCUGUAACUGACGCUGAUGUGCGAAAGCGUGG